AUAGUACCCAAGAGGAUAAACAUUUCCAGCGACGGGAAGAACAAGAGAGGAAACAAAACUAGUAGCAACCGCCGGCUUGGUUGACCUUUUCUUGGUGGGUUUUUGACUAGCCGCUGAGAAAGAACCCUGAAAAUUAGCAGCCAAUACAAUAAAGAAUAUGGCCGACACUGAAGAUAACAGUAAUACAAAUCUUCUUUUGCU
rnacentral:misc_RNA from 1 species